GUAAGAGUCAUGAGAGAGCUUGCUUCCUCUCUCUGCUCUCUGCUAUGGGGGGAUACAACCAGAAGUUGACAGUCUGCAACCCAACAGAGAGUUCUCACCAGAUCUCAACCGUGCUGGCAGCCUGAUCUUGGAUUUCCAGCUGGCAGAACUUGUCAAAACAUUAUAGUGACAUCCCUGACAUAUCCAUUCCCCCUGAGGUCGACUGUGCGAGAGGCUGAUCUCACAUCAUACACAGGAGAAGCCACAGCAGAAAAGAGCAAUGAGGUUUACAGAACUUAGAAAGGAAGAUACCAAGAAGUAGUGAAAUCAUAGUAUGUUUCGUUACUGAUAUUCUUCUAAGGUGAUUGGACAGAACAUGCCAGCUGUAGGCAGAAGAGAUGGAGAAGAAGAAAUUCGAGAAAUUCUAAGCGUGAGGAAGAUAAGACCUGUCUUUCUUGGCCCUAAGAUGUGGAGUUCUGUUUGAAAGGACUGGGAAGAGGCCUUUAGGAAUUAAGUGUGGCCCCCAGUUGACAGCGCGGCAAGAAAAUCGUGACUACCUUCCUACAACCAAUUGGAUUUGGCUGAGAACCUGAAUGAGUUUAGAAGCAAUUCAUCCCCAUACCAGCGGAAAGGAACGUAGGUCUGUGACAUCUUGAGCUCAGCCUUCUGAAAGUUUAAGCAUAGGACUCAGCCCCUGCUAUUAAUCAGUCUUCAAUUACAAUUUGGAAACAUAUGAGAGAUGAAAUAGCAUCUGCAACAUAACGUAUCAGGAAGAGGAAAGAGUAUCUCUGGAAUUCUCUUUUUGGACUUUUGCCUCCUCUGUCUGCCAGGUAUCAAGACACAACUCGUGUGUCUUCUUCAUCAACAUUCACAAGACCCUUCAGUCAGAAGAGAUGACUUCAUCCAUGUGCCUCUCCUGUGCCUUGUACUUCCCUAUUUUGAGAGUUUUCCUACAGUAUUUUAGAAGACUAUAAAAGAAAAGCAAUGAAAGAUUGACUGACUUCAGAUUGUGGAAAUGUGUGUGCUUUUUCUCUUUAUUUCUAUAUUUUCAAAAUUUCUUAUAGUGAUCUUAUAUCACCUUCAUAAUAUAGUAAAAUGUUAUAUAAAACAUUAGAGCAUAUAUAGAUACUUUUUAAAUGGAAACACACACAAACAUUCCUCACUAGAGUAAACUCCUUGUAUACGGACUUGUUUCAUUUUUUCUUUUCCUUAUUUUUUAAAAAAAAUUAUUUUAAAAUUUAUCUCUAUUUCAACCAGGAGACAACUGAUUAAAUUAUUAUUAGAAAUUAGUAGCAUAUUAUAUCAAAAUGAAACAGUAAAUAUAACUCAGCAAAUUAGAUUUUUAAAAGCAAAUGAAAACAUAAGCACGGCUAGCUUAACAUGAAGAGCUAAAGAAAAAAUGACAUUUUAAAAAUUUUCUCCUUACAUUUUUGAAAUACAUCUGGACCUUUGUUAUAGCAUACAGCAUUUUGUUGAUAUUAAACGUGUUCUGUACUUAGUCCAGUUUCUAAAUUUGCAAUUUAUUUUGUACAAAGCACAUUUGCUUGCUUAUGUGUUUUAAAGUUCAUCCGUUUCAUAAUGUUUUA
ensembl:lncRNA